UUUAAGCAUAUCACUCAGUGGAGGAAAGGCAAGCAACUGCGAUUGCUUCAGUAAUGGCGAAUGAACUGGCAACACAAGGCUCAGCCUGAAUGGAAUCCAGCUGCACCUCAGUGUGCACUCGGCUUGUUGUGUGAUUCAGCAAAUGCUGUGGGUUGAAGGAGCAGGUGGUGAGUCUUGUCAGGCCAUGCACCAAGAAUGUCCCUGGAAUGGGCAACAACAGAGGGAUACUGUCCCGUAUGGUGCUGUGUGCUGUGGCUUGGCUUGGCUUUGCUGUCUGCAUCCAGGAGUAGAGUUGCUUGGGACUGCAGUUUGAAGUGUGUGGUGUAUCCCACACAAGGCAGAGUACUGACAUGGAACCGAUAGCGCACAAGUAGAGUGAUUGAAUGAUGCAAAGCACCUUGCAAAGGGGGUUCAACGUCCCUGAAGCCUCAGCAGGCACGGCGGAGAGUGGUGUUGUGGUUAUCUGGCCAGCAUCAGUGGCAGCUUGCCCAGUUGGUUUGGCCCUGGCCAUCCACUGGCUGGCUGUCCUGAGGUCAGGAUCCCCCAGGGGAUCAGCAUUACCAAGCAACCUUGGACUGGCCCAGAGGUUUCCUAUGAGCUCCAGCCAAUUGGUCUGGGAUGUUCUUGGAACCAGCUGGUGGCAUUGAGGCAUUCCUGAGUCUGAGGGACACAGAUCAGAGAGAUCAUGGCAGAAUGUCCUCCAAUAGGAGGCAGUUGUGAGAGCAGUGCCAAGCCUGCUUUGUCUGUGGACAUUGCAGUGCAUUGUGCCUCGAUUUGUUGAAGCUAUGCCAUGCUGCCUGUUGGCUGCACCAUUCUGAUGGUGGCUCACUGGUGGUGGAGGCUUUGCAGAGAGUGUGCAGUGCAGAUGGCAGUUGAGCUUGGUCUCAGUACCACUCUCUGCCCGUCUUGAAACACGGAUCAAGGAGUCUAUGGAGCAAGCAGAUUGGAUGGUGUGAUCAGCAAACCACUUGAUGUGGUGAAGGCAACAAACCCAGAAGGUGCAGCUGAGACAGUCUGAUGCUAAUACGUUGCACUGGCAUGUGGGACAUCUGUGCCAGAGCAACAGUUGCGGAUUGACUAUAUUCAGUGGAGAUUCAGCAUGGGACACCAGUCUCAAGUCCAGUGGACAGAGUUCUGAGUGAAUGUGUGGUCCAUGGGACCCGAAAGGUGGUGAACUAUACCGUGCCAUGGUGAAGCUGUGGGAAACUGCAGUGGAAGCCAGAAGCUGUUCUGACGUGCAAAUUGUGUAGCCUGAGUGCGGCAUAGGGGUGAAAGGCCAAUCGAGCCACCUAGUAGCUGGUUCCCUUCGAAGUUUCCCUCAGGAUAGCUGGGUUCAAAUGCAGAGCUGAUUGAUUGGUUAUGUCCAGUAAAGCAACGCAUGAGAGGCAAUGUGGGCAGGCUUCCCUGCUCAACCUAUUCUCGAACUGUGAAUGGGCCUGGCAAGCCCAAAAGCAAGCUUCUUCACUGCACUGAGUCUGUGUCAAAGCAGUCCCUCAGGAUUUGAGCGUGUUCAAUGUUACAGCAGCAUUACAGUCAAGGCAAAUGCCACACAAGGACCACCAGAUGGUCCAGGCAGAUGUGUGCUAUGUUGUUGUCCAGAGCAGAACAGAAGUCCCUCUGUGGACCAGGAUUGGUAAGCAGUGCUGGUGAUGCGGGAUGCUCCGAUAGUGGAUUUACAGGACCAGAGUGCUGGCUCAUACACAGAUCCCACAAAGGAUGUUGCCUGCUAGGGAUAGCAGGACGGUGGCCAUGAAGGUUGGAACCCGCUAAGGAAUGUGUAACAACUCACCUGCCGAAGCAAGCAGUUCCGAAAAUGGAUGGUGCCCAAGUCAGUGAAGCUAACAUAGCCUUACAGUCCACCACUGCUGUGGCAGCAAAGCAGAGCAUCAGUGUGUAGAAGGGCAUGGUAGACUGCUGGAAAUGCUGAGCUUGAGCUUGGCUGAAGUGUCUUCUGGCGCAGAUCUUGGUUGCAGUAGCAAAUACUCCAUCUGACAAAGAGCAGAUUUGAACCUGCUGUGCGCGAUUGAGGACAGGAGUGGAGCAGGCUUCCACACCAAACAGCCGUUGAAUGUGGGUCAGCCGAACGUGAGCCAAGUGGUAAUUCACCAUACAACCAAAGCUGCUAUUCUGAAUUGGAUGCAAGUGUCAGCAGCAUGUGACAGGCCCCAGGGUCUGCACUCACAGGUGGCAGAGCACUAUCUGGUUUGGUCCUGGCAGGACUGGCAAACAGGCAAGCAAGUUGCAACAUUCUGCUGUGAUGGGAUUGGUGAUCUAGAAUUGGUGGCAACACCUUCUGCCUUGAGCAAGCAGAGGUAAGGGGCUGAGCUACCCCUGAAGAGUUUUCGUUUCCUCCUGAUAGAUUCAGCCAAGGUGAGCCAUUGAUUGGCAUGACAGAUGAUGAUGUGGGUCACUGCCCAGCAUGACAAUGCAUUCUCUGUGUUGAUGGACUAAGUCUGUGGUGCCUCCAGACUCAAAUCAAUUUGUGUCAUCAGAGCCACAAGGUUGGCACAGCCUCCAGUGAACAGUCUGUGGGACAAUGUCCCCUAUUCCUUGUUUUCGUACUGAAUCACCGCAGCCGGUCUCCUCGGCUAGAAGCCGCUUGUUGACAGACUAAAUGCAGCUAAGGGAAGUCGGCAAACUGGCCAUGUACCUUCGGAAGAUGUGGUGGCUCCACAGGCUAAGUCAUUGGACCCUUCUGUGAGCAGUCAUGUGUGGUUGUGGCCAACUGACCAGUGGCUUCAUUGCCAUUGGUUUCAGGCCUGUGCUGCUUCUGCACCGCUGUCUUGCAGUUGGGGGUUGCUUGUCCACAGGGCUGCAGCCCAAUCCACUGUCUACCAAGUGGCUCAUAUGGAACUGUUGCUGUGCAAGGGAAUCUGACUGUUUAAUUGAAACCCAGCUUUGUGAAGGGAUCAGCUGGCUGAUCCCAUGAGGUGACUUCUGCCCAGUGCUCUGAUUGUCAAUGCGAAGAGAUUCAGCCAAGCGCGGGUAAACGGCGGGAGUAACUAUGACUCUCUUAAGGUAGCCAAAUGCCUCGUCAACCAAUUAUUGACGCGCAUGAAUGGAUCAACGAGAUUCCUGCUGUCCCUAGUUGCCGUCUGGUGAACCAACAGCCAAGGGAACGGGCUUGGAUGUGUCAGCGGGGAAAGA
rnacentral:rRNA from 1 species